GUGAAUCAUCGAAUUUUUGAACGCAAAUUGCACUCUCUUGUGUGAGUAUGCCUGUUUGAGUUUCAGCCUAUAAAAAAUCGACAUCGUUGCUGUUGCGCGGUGACAUUGGUCGUAAAUUGGGUCAUCUUAAAUCUUUUGGUUUUAAGCGACUUAAAAUUUUCUUUUUAUUUCCAUGGACGUUGCUAAGAUUUAUUUCUUUACACGUUUAGGGUAUCUUUUUUUAUUAUACGUUACCAUCAGAUCGGAUCGCGCCCAGAAU
rnacentral:misc_RNA from 1 species